rnacentral:snRNA from 1 species
GUCUCUUCGGAGACAUCCGAUAAAAUUGGAACGAUAUAGAGAUAAUCAGCUUGGCCCCUGCACACAAGGAUGACAUGCAAAAAUCGAGAAAUAGUCUAAAUUUGU